rnacentral:rRNA from 1 species
GACGAACGCUGGCGGCGUGCUUAACACAUGCAAGUCGAACGGAAAGAGAUGAAAGAGCUUGCUCUUUUAUUAAUUUCAGUGGCAAACGGGUGAGUAACACGUAAACAACCUGCCUUAAGGAUGGGGAUAACAGACGGAAACGACUGCUAAUACCGAAUACGUUCUGAGCAUCGCAUGGUGCAUAGAAGAAAGGGUGGCCUCUACAAGAAAGCUAUCGCCUUAAGAGGGGUUUGCGACUGAUUAGGUAGUUGGUGAGGUAACGGCUCACCAAGCCGACGAUCAGUAGCCGGUCUGAGAGGAUGAACGGCCACACUGGAACUGAGACACGGUCCAGACUCCUACGGGAGGCAGCAGUGGGGAAUCUUCCGCAAUGGACGAAAGUCUGACGGAGCAACGCCGCGUGAACGAAGAAGGUCUUCGGAUUGUAAAGUUCUGUGAUUCGGGACGAAAGGGUAAAUAGUGAAUAACUAUAGACAUUGACG